GGCGUAUUAGCUAGUUGGUAAGGUAACGGCUUACCAAGGCAACGAUACGUAGCCGACCUGAGAGGGUGAUCGGCCACACUGGAACUGAGACACGGUCCAGACUCCUACGGGAGGCAGCAGUAGGGAAUCUUCCGCAAUGGGCGAAAGCCUGACGGAGCAACGCCGCGUGAGUGAUGAAGGUCUUCGGAUCGUAAAACUCUGUUAUUAGGGAAGAACAAGGAUGUAAGUAACUAUGCAUCCCUUGACGGUACCUAAUCAGAAAGCCACGGCUAACUACGUGCCAGCAGCCGCGGUAAUACGUAGGUGGCAAGCGUUAUCCGGAAUUAUUGGGCGUAAAGCGCGCGUAGGCGGUUUUUUAAGUCUGAUGUGAAAGCCCACGGCUCAACCGUGGAGGGUCAUUGGAAACUGGAAAACUUGAGUGCAGAAGAGGAAAGUGGAAUUCCAUGUGUAGCGGUGAAAUGCGCAGAGAUAUGGAGGAACACCAGUGGCGAAGGCGACUUUCUGGUCUGCA
rnacentral:rRNA from 1 species